rnacentral:rRNA from 1 species
AUUGAACGCUGGCGGCAGGCCUAACACAUGCAAGUCGAACGGUAACAGGAAGAAGCUUGCUUCUUUGCUGACGAGUGGCGGACGGGUGAGUAAUGUCUGGGAAACUGCCUGAUGGAGGGGGAUAACUACUGGAAACGGUAGCUAAUACCGCAUAAUGUCGCAAGACCAAAGAGGGGGACCUUCGGGCCUCUUGCCAUCGGAUGUGCCCAGAUGGGAUUAGCUAGUAGGUGGGGUAACGGCUCACCUAGGCGACGAUCCCUAGCUGGUCUGAGAGGAUGACCAGCUACACUGGAACUGAGACACGGUCCAGACUCCUACGGGAGGCAGCAGUGGGGAAUAUUGCGCAAUGGGCGCAAGCCUGAUGCAGCCAUGCCGCGUGUAUGAAGAAGGCCUUCGGGUUGUAAAGUACUUUCAGCGGGGAGGAAGGGAGUAAAGUUAAUACCUUUGCUCAUUGACGUUACCCGCAGAAGAAGCACCGGCUAACUCCGUG